CCUGGGGAGUCGGCCCUCAGCUGGGUCGCUGCGCAGCUUCCUCGGGAAUGGGGACUCCUUGGCUCUGCGGCCCGGUCAUAGGUGCUCUUCUGCUGGCGGGACGCUCGGGUCUGCCCGCUGGUUCCCCUUCCACACGCUUUUCUCUGGCGGCCACCAGCUGACUCU